UACGAAGGGGGCUAGCGUUGUUCGGAAUCACUGGCGUAAAGCGCACGUAGGCGGAUUGUUAAGUCGGGGGUGAAAUCCUGAGGCUCAACCUCAGAACUGCCUUCGAUACUGGCAAUCUCGAGUCCGGAAGAGGUUGGUGGAACAGCUAGUGUAGAGGUGAAAUUCGUAGAUAUUAGCUAGAACACCAGUGGCGAAGGCGGCCAACUGGUCCGGUACUGACGCUGAGGUGCGAAAGCGUGGGGAGCAAACAGG
rnacentral:rRNA from 1 species